rnacentral:rRNA from 1 species
UACGAAGGGGGCUAGCGUUGCUCGGAUUGACUGGGCGUAAAGGGCGCGUAGGCGGUUUGUACAGUCAGACGUGAAAUUCCUGGGCUCAACCUGGGGGCUGCGUUUGAUACGUAUGGACUUGAGUUCGGAAGAGGGUCGUGGAAUUCCCAGUGUAGAGGUGAAAUUCGUAGAUAUUGGGGAAGAACACCGGUGGCGAAGGCGGCGACCUGGUCCGAUACUGACGCUGAGGCGCGAAAGCGUGGGGAGCAAACAGG